CGCUGGCGGCGUGCCUAAUACAUGCAAGUCGAACGCUUCUUUCCUNCCCGAGUGCUUGCACUCAAUUGGAAAGAGGAGUGGCGGACGGGUGAGUAACACGUGGGUAACCUACCCAUCAGAGGGGGAUAACACUUGGAAACAGGUGCUAAUACCGCAUAACAGUUUAUGCCGCAUGGCAUAAGAGUGAAAGGCGCUUUCGGGUGUCGCUGAUGGAUGGACCCGCGGUGCAUUAGCUAGUUGGUGAGGUAACGGCUCACCAAGGCCACGAUGCAUAGCCGACCUGAGAGGGU
rnacentral:rRNA from 1 species